CAGCGGAAAAGUAAAGUUGAUUGUGCAGAAAGUAAAGUCGACUUAAAGUAAAAAGUUCAGGGAUAGAGAAAAUCAAACACAAUUUUUAUGCUGGUUCGGCACAAUGCCUACAUCCAGUGUCCUUCCACAACCAGGAAGCCAAUACACUAUAUUAGUCAAGGUUUUUACACAAGAUUUCUAUAGAGACCUCCACGUCAAAAGUAUAGACAAUCUCUCUAACCCUCUAACUAAAAGUAUAGGAAGCAACAUAAAGAUAACAAGAUAUCCCCUCUUCUGAUAUGCAUACCCACUUUGAAC
rnacentral:lncRNA from 1 species